UACAUGGGGUGCAAACGUUGCUCGGAAUUAUUGGGCGUAAAGCGCACGUAGGUGGUCUGUUAUGUCAGAUGUGAAAGCCCUCGGCUUAACUGAGGAAGUGCACCUGAAACUGGCAGGCUUGAGUACGAAAGAGGGUCGCGGAAUUCCCAGUGUAGAGGUGAAAUUCGUAGAUAUUGGGAAGAACACCGGUGGCGAAGGCGGCUCACUGGCCAGUUUCUGACGCUGCAGCGCGAAAGCGUGGGGAUCAAACAGG
rnacentral:rRNA from 1 species